CAGCCGCCGCGGUAAUGCGAAGGUCCCGAGCGUUGUUCGGAAUCACUGGGCGUAAAGGGAGCGUAGGCGGCGUGGUAAGUCAGAUGUGAAAUCCCGGGGCUCAACCCCGGAACUGCAUCCGAUACUGCCAUGCUAGAGUAUGGCAGAGGGGGGUGGAAUUCCACGUGUAGCAGUGAAAUGCGUAGAGAUGUGGAGGAACACCGAUGGCGAAGGCAGCCCCCUGGGCCAAUACUGACGCUCAUGCACGAAAGCGUGGGGAGCAAACAGGAUUAGAUACCCGCGUAGUCCCUGUCUCUUAUAA
rnacentral:rRNA from 1 species